GAUGAACGCUGGCGGCGUGCUUAACACAUGCAAGUCGAACGAUGCACUUUAUUUGAUUUCCUUCGGGACUGAUUAUUUUGUGACUGAGUGGCGGACGGGCGAGUAACGCGUGGGUAACCUGCCUUGUACAGGGGGAUAACAGUUGGAAACGGCUGCUAAUACCGCAUAAGCGCCCGGCAUUUGAUGAUGCAGUGUGAAAAAUGCCGGUGGUAUAAGAUGGACCCGCGUUGGUUUAGCUAGCUGGUGAGGUAACGGGCCACCAAGGCGACGAUCCAUAGACGGCGUGAGAGGGUGACCGGCCACAUUGAGACUGAGACACGGCCCAAACUCCUACGGGAGGCAGCAGUGGGGAAUAUUGCACAAUGGGCGAAAGGCUGAUGCAGCGACGCCGCGUGAGCGAAGAAGUAUGUCGGUAUGUAAAGCUCUAUCAGCAGGGGAGAUAAUGACGGUACCUGACUAAGAAGCACCGGCUAAAUACGUG
rnacentral:rRNA from 1 species